GUAUAAUCUAAUUUUUCCUUCUUUUGUGUUUUUCUUCCAUUCUCUCUUUCCUUCAUUUGCCAUUUCCAAACCGCCAAGCGUGUAGGAAAGAGGAGAAUGAAAAGUUCCAUAGAACAGGAUAGAACAUAGAUGUUGUUUUUUUCAUGUAGUUGAAUUUUGAAAAAACGAGAAAAACACAAACAAAAAAGAAACAACCAAGAACACUUG
rnacentral:ribozyme from 1 species